UAGAUUAGAUAGCGAUUCCAUU
rnacentral:miRNA from 1 species